rnacentral:rRNA from 1 species
UACGGAGGAUCCAAGCGUUAUCCGGAUUUAUUGGGUUUAAAGGGUGCGUAGGUGGCCUGGUAAGUCAGGGGUGAAAGACGGUAGCUCAACUAUCGCAGUGCCGUUGAUACUGCCGGGCUUGAAUACAGUUGAAGUGGGCGGAAUGUGACAAGUAGCGGUGAAAUGCAUAGAUAUGUCACAGAACACCGAUUGCGAAGGCAGCUCACUAAAAGUGUGAUUGACACUGAGGCACGAAAGCGUGGGGAUCAAACAGG